rnacentral:lncRNA from 1 species
CCAGGGACAACAUUACAAUGUGUGGCCCUGCUCAGUCAGCAGCUUUAUGGCAAUUCAGAAUAUGGAAGGCUUUGCUCUUUGGAAGUGCUCUGUUUCAUUUUAUUUUCUGUUUCAAUUAUUUAUUUGCAUUACUUUAGAAGAAGACUUGAAAGAGACAGCUCUCUAUCCUGCUUUGUGAUUGAUGGUGGAGAAGGCAGAAGAAUGUACAUGCUCUCAAGAAAUAACAGCUGUUUUCAAACUCUGAAACAGAAGCAGCAGAAAGAAAAGACACUACACCACAUUGGGCCCAGGAACAUCAGAAGUUGAGGAGUCAAACAAAAUCAUCUGAAGGCAUUGAGAAAAGAAGGAUGUGAAAGACAGAGUACUGAAGGACUUCCAGAAGAAGUUGGAAGAAAGAGAAGAGGGAAAGGGAAAGGAGAGUUCUUCUCCAAGGGCCUUCUAACAGAAUAGUUGACAUAGGACAAGACAAUGUGGAUGAGUUCAGUAAAGAAAUUAUGCGGUGAAAAGGAUUUCUAGAAGAAAUGGUUAAAGAUGCUGACAAAAAACUAAAGAUGAAUAAGGCAUAUGUGUUAAUAUUUAGGAGGCAUUGUGCAUCAUUGUUAUUGUUUUCAGUAGUCUAAUUUCUAAAUAAACAGCAGACUAAAAAUAUUUGCA